rnacentral:rRNA from 1 species
GAUGAACGCUGGCGGCGUGCCUAACACAUGCAAGUCGAACGGAGUCCAGCCUUAGAGACCUUCGGAUCAAAGAGGGGAAGACUGAGUGGCGGACGGGUGAGUAACACGUGGGCAACCUGGCUCAUAGAGGGGGAUAACAGAGAGAAAUUUCUGCUAAUACCGCAUAAGCACACACUGCCGCAUGGCAGAGUGUGAAAAGAGAAUCGCUAUGAGAUGGACCCGCGUCUGAUUAGCCAGUUGGCAGGGUAAGAGCCUACCAAAGCGACGAUCAGUAGCCGAUUUGAGAGGAUGAACGGCCACAUUGGGACUGAGACACGGCCCAAACUCCUACGGGAGGCAGCAGUGGGGGAUAUUGCACAAUGGGGGGAACCCUGAUGCAGCGACGCCGCGUGAGUGAAGAAGUAUUUCGGUAUGUAAAGCUCUAUCAGCAGGGAAGAUAAUGACAGUACCUGAAUAAGAAGCCCCGGCUAACUACGUG